GCAGGGGAACUGGAGGUAUCCUUGGGGAUGACAUUGGUCUCGGCAAGACCAUGCAGGUUUCUGCCUUCCUGGCUGGAUUAUUCCAUUGCCGCUUAAUCAAGAGAGUGUUGGUGGUUGCGCCAAAGACACUUCUCACUCAUUGGACGAAGGAACUUUCAGUUGUCGGCCUCAAACAUAAGAUUAGGGAUUACUCUAGGCCCA